rnacentral:rRNA from 1 species
GGUUACUGCUAUCGGUGUUCGCCUAAGCCAUGCGAGUCAUAUGUUCUUCGGAACAUGGCGUAUUGCUCAGUAACACGUGGAUAACCUGCCCUUGGGUCCGGCAUAACCCCGGGAAACUGGGGAUAAUUCCGGAUAACGCACAUAUGCUGGAAUGCUUUAUGCGUCAAAUGGAUUCAUCCGCCCAAGGAUGGGUCUGCGGCCUAUCAGGUAGUAGUGGGUGUAAUGUACCUACUAGCCUACGACGGGUACGGGUUGUGAGAGCAAGAGCCCGGAGAUGGAUUCUGAGACAUGAAUCCAGGCCCUACGGGGCGCAGCAGGCGCGAAAACUUUACAAUGCGGGAAACCGUGAUAAGGGGACACCGAGUGCCAGCAUCAUAUGCUGGCUGUCCAGGUGUGUAAAAUACACCUGUUAGCAAGGGCCGGGCAAGACCGGUGCCAGCCGCCGCGGUAACACCGGCGGCCCGAGUGGUGAUCGUGAUUAUUGGGUCUAAAGGGUCCGUAGCCGGUUUGGUCAGUCCUCCGGGAAAUCUGACGGCCUAACCGUUAGGCUUUCGGGGGAUACUGCCAGACUUGGAACCGGGAGAGGUAAGAGGUACUACAGGGGUAGGAGUGAAAUCUUGUAAUCCCUGUGGGACCACCUGUGGCGAAGGCGUCU